CAGGGGUCGUGACGGAAGCGGUCUGGGUGCUGACUUUAGCCAUCUCUAAGCUGCAAACGAAGAGAGGAAGAGGAACAAACAGGCCUGCACCUUCUGAAUAUAUACACUGAAGGCCACAUCCUGCAUUACCUGAAACUGGUGAAGACAAGAGAGCAGGUGUGGCUUUGGCAGUCCUGUUGGGUCUGUGAAUGAACUUCUCAUAAAAAAAUACCUUCAGGAAACUGCCCUUCAACAAGGAGCAAGUGCUGCUGACUAAAUUAAUUUAUAAUCCAAAGUCAGAUAGUACACAGAAAAACUAAACUGCAGUUCAAUCUUAAUAAAAGCAAGAAGAUGGAAUUGGGUAAUGAAAAUCUUGUUACUACAGUGGAGACCAGUUAAAGAGACAGAAGGCUUUACAGAAAAAAAGACAUUUCAACUGCAAACAAGCUAAGACACGCUCUAUUCAUACAGAGGCCAGCGCUCGGAAAACGGCAGCGUGCUGUGAUGCUGAGAAAACCAAACCACUUGCCAGUGGCAGCAGCAAGCCAAGAGCAGCAGCUGGAAGCCAGGCUGACCAUCCAGAGCUGCUGUGUGUGGCUCUGCACCUUUCCAGAGCACUGACAGCCCUACAUCUCCCUGGAUACACGCGGCUCUUGCUUGGACAGGUACUGUGCAUUAAAGUCAGUGGGAUUUACAGCUCUCUGACUGCAGGCAGAAGCAGGCAUAAGAAGAUACUGAAAUUUGUCUGCCUUCCUUUACAGAAACUUACCAAAACUCUUUUGUUUGUGAACAGAACUGAGCCUGAGCUCUGUGUGUGUGUGCAUGUGUGUCCCAGGGUGUUUCUGCUCCAGCAUGGGGAGCCCCCAGAAGCAAGUGGGCACCGAGCCAGCAGCUGAGGCUGAGAUGUUUUGGUUUCUGUAAGGGUGAGGAGGGGAGUUUUGUUCUUUGUUAAGGAAGGAUGGGCCCCGAGAAGCUCAGCCAUGGCCAGAGUGAGUAGAAAAUGGAAACUUUGAUCUGCAGGUGUGUUGAUGCUGGGAUAAUGUUGCCAGUUUUGCAGAAUGAUAUGCCAGGAUACAGAGACUGCCACUCUCCCUGCUGCUUCAGGCCCUGAUGUGUUGAAUACCCUUAUGGGGAACUGUAGCACUUGGAGUAACUGGCCAGAAACAGAUUCACAGUUGUCCACAUGUUUUACCAAGAGAAGAAAAACCUCCCAAUGCAAUCCUUGCUUCACACUCAGGGACAAACAGAAAGCCAAAGUGGAUACCCAGGUGGCUGAAACAAAGACCAAAUUUUGACAAGCACAAGAGGAGCAACCAUGAGGGGGGAAAAAUGGGGUGGCAGGAAAUGCACACAGGAUUUCCCAUCCUGCGACAACAGGAGGGCCUUGAGCUCCCUGUCCUCAUCCCAAGGAAUCUCUCUGAGUGUGUGACUACAUGCCAGUGCAGAGGACUGGUGUGUGUUUCUCCAGGAAGCCUCUGGUCUGUCUGUGUGCACACCAAUGUGCCCGCACUGGCUGUCUGUGGGCAGCACAGGGAUCCCUAAGCCUCUGCUUCUGAUGCCUCAGUCUCACUGGCCUCCACGGUCUGCAGGGAGUGAAGCUGGUGCAGGAGAGGAGAGCACCAGAGCAGGCACCUGCUGGGGUCACUCAGCAAGUGUAUUGCCACUUGUAUGUGCUGGGGGUCCUCAGUGACGCCCAGACUGUCACCCAGGUGGGUCAGUGCAAAGAACGUGCCAUCUCCUAGCUGAGUUUGAGUUAAGUAGUGAGGAUUCAGUCCACACUGGUCAAGGACACCGGUGAUGCUGGUGUCUGGAAGAGAGGUUUGGUAACCUUUGGCCUGAAGCUCUCCAAAGUCACUCUUCAUUGCUGUGACAACAGGAUGUUUGGACACCCUCUGCAAGCUGUGACACGGCCUGCAGCUCGUGCAGAACACACAACUCCAUCUCGUCUGCCAUGUGAGAAGGAUAGCAGUGCUGGGGGCUUGGGCUCUCUCUGGGGUGCCUUUCUCAUUACAUGUUAUUACACUGAAAUUUGAACAGUAUCUGAGUAUUCAAGAGCUGAUGUGUUCUAGAAGAAGUUCAAGGGACAUUUAGUUAUGGGGAUUUUGUUUUAUAUAAAGAGACCUGCCUGAGAUGCCUUGCUCUGAGAUGGAAUCAUCAAACUGCAUCCAACCAAACACCUCUGGUGCAUUUGGGAGAGGAGCCAAACCUACCACAAACUAUACCAAGGCUACUACACACUGUAGUCUAAUACUGUAUCAACUAAUAAAUGCAAUCAGCAGUGGCACAGGGUCCUGUUGGAGGCCUGUCACUUGUGGUGUCCCCCAAGGUUCAACACUGGAGCCAGUGUUAACAUGUUCAUCAACGACUCAGAUGAAGGGGCAGAGUUCUGCUCAGCAAGUUCCCUGAUGACACAGAGCUGGGAGGACUGGGCAAUACUCUAGGGGGCUGUGCAGCCCUUCAGACCCUCUCGACAGGGUGGAGAUGGGCAGAGGGGAACUGUCUGAAAUUCAACAAA